rnacentral:rRNA from 1 species
AUGUCACAGGUCCACUCUCUUAUUCUCAGGCGCCAUUAUGCUUAUGGAUGCUUCUACUGGGACUGGCUGGUCGUCAAGAGGAACCUGUUGCUCGUCCUUGACACCAAGAGCAUGGAGUUCUCCAUCACUGACCUACCACCGGGAGAAUGGAGUACAAAAGGUUUAGCCAUUGUUGAGGCAGGGGAAGGCGGGCUUGGGAUGUUUGGUCUCCAUGGUGAAAAUGAAUUUGCAUCUGAUCUCAGUUAUACCAUUUUGCGAAACAGAUGCGAGAGUCCCAGCCAGUGGCUGAUGGAGAAGACAAUCUCACUAGAUCCUGGGUACCGAUAUUAUAUCAAAUCUGUAACAGAGAGGUGUUUGCUAUUGAUGAGGACAGAGUCGCCGCUAGGCUCACCUCUAGAGAAGCCACUCCUUGAGUUUUUCUCAAUGGACAUCAAGACAUUAAAGGUUCAGAGGCUUUGUCUCAAACAAUGCAAGCUUAUGCUAUCCGAGAUAAGCAUAUAUGCCUACUUUUUUCAAACCGGGAUAUAUUCCAACUUCCCAUCAUCGUUCUUGCCUCCACAGAUAGUAUGA